rnacentral:rRNA from 1 species
GAUGAGCGCUAGCGAUAGGCUUAACACAUGCAAGUCGAGGGGCAGCAUGGUCUUAGCUUGCUAAGGCUGAUGGCGACCGGCGCACGGGUGCGUAACGCGUAUGCAACUUGCCUCACAGAGGGGGAUAACCCGUCGAAAGACGGACUAAUACCGCGUACACUCUAUGUUGGGCAUCCAAUGUAGAGGAAAUGAAAUUCGCUGUGAGAUAGGCAUGCGUCCCAUUAGCUAGUUGGUGAGGUAACGGCUCACCAAGGCGACGAUGGGUAGGGGAACUGAGAGGUUGAACCCCCACACUGGUACUGAGACACGGACCAGACUCCUACGGGAGGCAGCAGUGAGGAAUAUUGGUCAAUGGGCGAGAGCCUGAACCAGCCAAGUCGCGUGAAGGAUGACUGUCUUAUGGAUUGUAAACUUCUUUUAUACGGGAAUAACAAGAGUCACGUGUGGCUCCCUGCAUGUACCGUAUGAAUAAGCAUCGGCUAACUCCGUG